UACGGAGGGUGCAAGCGUUAUCCGGAUUCACUGGGUUUAAAGGGUGCGUAGGCGGGCUUGUAAGUCCGUGGUGAAAUCUCUGAGCUUAACUCGGAAACUGCCAUGGAUACUAUGGGUCUUGAAUACUCGGGAGGUGAGCGGAAUAUGUCAUGUAGCGGUGAAAUGCUUAGAUAUGACAUAGAACACCAAUUGCGAAGGCAGCUUACUACACAGUUAUUGACACUGAGGCACGAAAGCGUGGGGAUCAAACAGG
rnacentral:rRNA from 1 species